rnacentral:rRNA from 1 species
GAUGAACGCUGGCGGCGUGCUUAACACAUGCAAGUCGAGCGAAGCGCUUUGGUUAGAUUCUUCGGAUGAAGACCUUUGUGACUGAGCGGCGGACGGGUGAGUAACGCGUGGGUAACCUGCCUCAUACAGGGGGAUAACAGUUAGAAAUGACUGCUAAUACCGCAUAAGACCACAGUACCGCAUGGUACAGGGGUAAAAACUCCGGUGGUAUGAGAUGGACCCGCGUCUGAUUAGCCAGUUGGCAGGGUAACGGCCUACCAAGCGACGAUCCAUAGCCGCCUGAGAGGGUGAACGGCACAUUGGGACUGAGACACGGGCCCAGACUCCGUACGGGAGCAGCAGGUGGGAAUAUUGCACAAUGGGGGAAACCCUGAUGCAGCGACGCCGCGU